ensembl:lncRNA
AUGGAUCUGUGGUUAUCCAGGAAUAAUCAGUCCCUGGGAUUUGCCUUAGCCUGGCAGGAUGAGAGGGAGGGAGGCCCAGGGAGCGGGCUGGGGUCGGGGAGGCUGCUGGCUGCCCUCUGCUCACUCAUGCUGGAGCUGCCGGGUGUGCAGGAUGUGCCGAGCAGCUAAUUACCCCCUUCUCCUGUGGUAAUCCAGCUUUCCCAAUGGCCCUGCUGCUGCCAGGUGUGUGGCAGUGCCAGCAGGAGACUGCAGAGCACCCACCUCAGGGAGCUGUGCCAUCACUGAGCCAGCUCAGCCCUGCCAGCAGGGAUCCUGCCCUCUCCCUCAGCCUGGCCAGGGAUCCAGCUGCGGCUCUGCAGGUGAGGGGCACCCUCCCCCCAACUCACACCGAGGAUCCAACUCCCCUGGGAGGUGUGGGCAUCUCUUCUGGCUGCGUCCUCAGCCCUCGUGGUCCAUGUGAUGCCCAGAGAAUGUGGGAUGCAGGGUCCAGCCAGAGGCUGUCUGUGCUACUGGGGCAGACUUCAGCUUGUAGAAUGUUUUACAGGCUGCAGCAGUGGGAGCUGGGAAGAGCUUGGGUCCCUGGUGCACCUGGCAUGUCCUGGCAGCUUCCCCAGAGCAUCCCAGCACCAGCCCUGCUGCCGUGGAAGGGGGAGCAGCCCAGGAGCGCUGGCACGGCAGGAGCAGCUCCUUCUCCUUUGAGGAUCCGAGGGCUCUGAGGAAGCAGCUCAGGUUUGCAGAUGCUGUGUCACAGCCCCGGGGCUUUGCUUCCUGGAGUGCGGCUGCAUUUACAGCCAGUGGCCCUUCCCUGCUCUCAGAGCCUGGCAUGACACACGUUUUCGGGCAUCUGGCUCCACGGGGGUCAGGCGGAGGUCAGGCCGGGCUGAGCCAGGGCUCUGAGUGACCACCAGCAUCCCAGAGCCGCACGGACACACCCCCAUCGCUGUCCUCUCCACUCCUGUCAAGGAGCGCUCCCAGCCACCGGGGGCUGCAAUUCCCGCUGUCCCCUCGGUGUUCUGCGGGCUCUGCCCCCUGCAGGCCCCAGGCAUCGCCCUGCUCUGCUCGCCUGGGCAGGGCUCGGGGCUCGGCUCCCGCCCUGCCACCACUGUCACCGAUGUGGGGCACGGCAGGGUGGGAGGCUGUGCCUGGCAAAGCAGCACGGAGCAGGGAGGAAUUCUGCCCCUGGAUGCCCAGUUUCCAGCUGUGAAGGGUUGUGCCUGUUUGUCACCUUUCCCUGCAGCCACAGGAGGUGGUUUUGGGGCUUUGAGAAGGUGUUCAAAUACAGCUGUGAGUGCAUCAUUCGGGGACAUGCCUGGCUGGGACAGCUGGUGAGGGUCACCCCUGUCCUUCCCUGUCCCCUGGGGUCCUGCCUGAGCCCCCAAGCCUGGGUUCUGCAUGGACCUCUGCCACCUUCCUGCUGGUCUUUGCCAGGAGGUGGCAAGCGGAGGAAAUGGCCACUUGGGCACCUUGCCAGAGCUGGGCACACCUGUGUCCUGGCUGUCCCUUCCCCUCGGGCUCCCAGUACUCCCAGUUCAGCCUUUCCCAGCAGUGGGAGGGCAGAGCUGCCCACGCAGGCGGGCUGGGCACGGCGAUGUGCCAUCUGUCGUGUCUGCUGCAGCUCCUCUGCUUUCUCCCUGCGAACCAGUUGGACCAGUGGGCCAGGAUUGGUGCCCAGCCUCGCUGCUGUGUCACCAGGAGACGAGGGGACAGGCAGGACGUGCCAGGCUCCAGCACAGACAGGGCUCUGCAGCAGCAGCCUCCAGCCUGGGAUAAGGAGAGCAGCUCCCGUGGCACAGCAGUGGGACAUGGACCCCCGGACAGGACAAGAGCCCAUCAAGGUGAUCGGGGUUGUCUUGGGCAUCGGUCUGGCCCUGCUGGUCCUGGCGAGUUUUGGCUACACCUUCAUCCGCUGGUACCGGAGGGGCCCCCCCCCCCCCCCCCCCCCCCCCCCCCCCCCCCCCCCCCCCCCCCCCCCCCCCCCCCCCCCCCCCCCCCCCCCCC